rnacentral:lncRNA from 1 species
AGGGUUACCAAGGGAGCCAUUAAUGUCAUCAAGGACAUUGACUCAGCGCUGGAGACUAUAUAAACAAACUUUUUCAACUUCACAAAGGUACAUUAUCUUUCUCUCUAAAAAUCUCCCUCCACACUUAACUGACUUGAGCGUCGGAGUGUUUGUAGGUACACAACCCAUUUUCCCUUCACCGGGGUUUGGAACGGAGCAACACCGAACACGAUCAUUCUUCUGAUAAAAUAAUAUCAGUUGUAUAUUGACAUAUGUACGGUGAUAACUACGACAAUUAUUUUGGAAUCAACG